rnacentral:rRNA from 1 species
UACGAAGGUGUCAAACGUUGUCCGGAAUUACUGGGCGUAAAGGGCGCGUAGGCGGCAAGUUAAGUCAUAUGUGAAAGUCCAAGGCUCAACCUUGAAAUUGCAUGUGAUACUGGCUAGCUUGAGUUCGGUAGGGGAGGGCGGAAUUCCUGGUGUAGCGGUGAAAUGCGUAGAUAUCGUAAGGAAGACCAGUGGCGAAGGCGGGUCUCUGGACAGUUCCUGGCGCUGAGGCACGAAGGUCAGGGGAGCAAACGGG